UCCCUGGAGGACUAGUGGGUAGGCCUCGGUGCUCCGCCGCUGUGGCCCAGGUUCAAUUCCUGGCGAGGGAA